rnacentral:rRNA from 1 species
CACCAGCGCCUCGAGUGGGGAUCGCGAUUAUUGGGUCUAAAGCGUCCGUAGCAGGCCUUGUAAAUGCUUUGUGAAAUCGGCAGGCUUAACCUGUCGGCGUGCAGAGUAAACUGCAGGGCUUGAGACCGGGAGAGGUUAGAAGUAUUCCUUGGGUACCGGUAAAAUGGGUUAAUCCAGGGAGGACUACCAAUGGCGAAGGCAUCUAACCAGAACGGUUCUGACUGUGAGGGACGAAAGCUAGGGGAGCAAAACGG